UACGUAGGGGGCCAGCGUUGUCCGGAUUCAUUGGGCGUAAAGCGCGUGUAGGCGGCCAGGUAGGUCCGAUGUGAAAUCUGGAGGCUCAACCUCCAGCGGUCAUUGGAAACCAUCUGGCUAGAGUCCGGAAGAGGAGAGUGGAAUUCCUGGUGUAGCGGUGAAAUGCGCAGAUAUCAGGAAGAACACCAGAGGCGAAGGCGGUUACCUGGACAGUUACUGACGCUCAGGCACGAAAGCAUGGGGAGCAAAAGGG
rnacentral:rRNA from 1 species